UCCGUGUGUGUGUAUUUGUUUACCAUACGGACAGUUCAGCCAUACGGCACUGGAAAGAGAGAGAGAGAGAGCAACUUCCCUGGGCGGGAGUUCAUCCUUCCAGGCGCUAUUUCCCUCUCCGGUCCAUCGGGCGGGUGGUGCCAUCUAGUGAAAGGGAGGGAACCGCGGCCCCGCCGACACCGGCAUUGCCAGCGCCCGGAGGAGGAUGCUUUCGGUGGGGUCUUCACCCUCAGCUCGACGCACCUCAGCCUCCUUGUUAUCAGGAACCAUCAAAGCAUGGGUGCAGUUGGCUGGUAUCCUUCAGCUGUUUGGAGGUUAGUUUGCCUCUGAAAUAUGCAUUAAUGCCACAAAAUGGCUCUCAUACUGGAAGGUGGAUUCAUGCCAUAUGCCCAGUGAUUGGAUGUAUUUCACACUGUUUUCAAAUUUAUCAGCAAGAUAGUUCCAAUCACCUAAGAUUGAUGUAAGUUACCACAGUGAUAAUUUUGUGUUAGAGUAAUUAUGAGGCUUCCUGACAGAUAUGACACAAUUCUCCAAAACCAGCACAUGAUCAUUAUCUUGUUUGUUUGUUUGUUUGUUUUGUCAGAAAAUCAGUUUCCACCAUGAUCCAUAUUUAGCAGACACUUAUCUGCUUUAAAUGGAAAAUGAUUUAAAACCAUUCUUCAGCCUACUGAAACUGCACACAUAAUUUAUGGUUCCUUUUCCUCUCCUAAAUAUUUAGAUUUUUUUCAACUUCUUUUUAAAAAGAAUUUGAUCUCUUUUUCCUAAGUUUGAUAGCAGUCACAAAGUAGCUGGCAUUGCAGAGAGUCAGAUCCCAUACAGUUAGAUAUGGUAUCCCAUCAGCAUUCUUUCUUUUGUUUUUUAUCCUCAUUAAAAAGUAGUACAAUAACAACAUUAUACAUCCAAUUUCAAAUAACUUUAUACAUUUGGCUGUAAGAAUUCAGGUUUAUAUUUAGCAAGAAAAUUUAUAUUUAGCAGGCAAGUUUUUAUUUAGCAAAUCUCUGCUUCAGACUUAUAAAGCAGUUUUAGUAACUUCAAGCUAGGUAAAUGCAAAAAUAAAUGUACCUUAAAGCAUCUAUUUGAUAGAAAAAAUGUAUGCAAAUAACAUAUUAUUUUAUUUUUUUUUGUUUUAUGAGGGGAGUUGUUUAUAUUGUCUAACUUUUCCAAACCAGUUUUCCUACUUUAUUAAUGCAGAAACUGAGACAGAUACAGGUGGGUGUUUUAGAACAAAAAUUUAAUGCCAGUGCUAGCUCGGUAGAGAGACUAUCACAGAAAGCUUACUACUAAUAUUCUGCUGGCAGCUAAUUGCUUCUGCUUGGGCUAUAUAAUUAGCAAGCUGAAGUACACUGAAUAAAUAAAUGUUUUAAAAUCUAAACAAGUCACCUUUUAAGUUACUUCGUACAUCCCAAGAAAUCCUGAAACAAUUCACUGACAAGACUUAUCCAAAGACAACAGAAAAUAUUUUCCAGUUCAUGAGGUCAGGCGUAAGUCGUUAGCGAUCAAACAGACUUUUCAUUACUAGUUUGUGGGAUCUAGUAAUCAUAUUUUUCUUGAGUGGUUUUCUUUUCCAGAACUGAGAAGUAUUGGUUUCCUUCUCUCCUCUGCUAAUGACUAAGAUGUAGUGGCUCUGCUAGGAUGGUCAGAGGCAGGGAAACAGGAAAAAAGUUUGUUGUCUCCCACAGAGACUCUUUUCUCCAGACAAUUUCAAUGUGGCAUGAAAGCAAGCCCUGUCCAGGUCAGCUUUAAUAGGAAAGAAAAUUCUCACCAGGGAUUGUGGCUACCCUCAAGACUUCAUUUAAAUCUCUUGGGAGAACAAAUAUAAAUUCCAUUAACAGUUUGCUAUACUUUUUCUUUCAAAACCAAAGCCCUAGUGUGCUUUGUAAUGUAGACAAAUAGCUAGGAUGUUGAGAUUACUACUGUAUUUUUAAUUAAUGAAAUCUAAACAAGCAAAAAAAUAGAAUAUUAUUUUAGCUGCAAAGAGGUACUAAAACUCAGCAUCUCUACUUCUCCAUUAUUCUUUUCCUACUAGGAAAUCUAGAAAUAAAAAUUAAUAAAUCAAACACUAACACUGUUACUUUAUUAAAAUGAAUGGUUUUUUCUUUUUAAUUACAAUGAGAAUGUCCGCUUGUUGUCAUUCCUUCCAGGAACCAGAAUAUUACUCACUUUUCCUUAGGGGAAGAGAAUACUACUGCAGUUGCAAUACAAGCACCUUUGUCAUCCUAAUACCUUCACUAGGUGCUUUCUCUAUUAUCACUAUCUAUUCUCCUUAGAAUAGGCAGGUAAGUUCAUGUAAGUGUAACAGGAUAAAAUCUAAACUUCACAGACAAUUACAUCAGAUCUGUCCUCUGGCAGAUCACCCAAUAUAAUUCAAUUUUGCACCAGGUCAGGUGUGGACAUAAUCACAUCACUUUCACAUUUCACAAAGCACGCUAUAAUAAGCUCUUUAUGGUGACAUUAUGAUUUUGUGCUGGUUUUAUGCUAAAUGCAGAUCAAAUACCUGAUACUUUAUAAAGCCGAGGUGAUGGAAGCCUUAAAGAAACCCUGCUGGGACAAAGCUAACCUGCUGAUGUUUCUGGAGAGAAAUCUUAUAUUCAAUCUGAUGUUCUGGAUCAGGCACUAGGAGCCUUAAAGCAGCAUCAGUUCAUCACUGAACAUGACAGCACACACAUUUAGGUUCGACUUAAAAGAAAGUAUUUGAAGAUGUUCAGACUACGGAUGUUCCUAACUGCUCCCUUCUACAGUUGUUCACAAUUACACCAGUUUUGGAACAUCUACAGUGGUUUCUAUUGACUGCAAACACUGUUUCUGUGAAAGCUUUGCUUUGUUUGAGUUUCCAUACUGAUUAUCCCAAUUUUUUUCUCUUUGCCGAGGGAACAUUUGCAGGUGCAAACAGAAUGCUGGUAAAGUCCUGUAUCUAUAGGAGACCACAGAGAAGAGCAAUGCCAAGAACUCCUGUCUGUCACCCAGAUCUUCCAGGACAGGUUUUCGUUGUCUUCAUCCCAGUGUCAUGAAGAAGAAUCAGAACUUCCCAAGGCAGUUAAUGCCACUUACAGGUCACUUCUGGGAUUAGUCUUAAACAAGAGCUUUCCCCUGAGUUACAUAACCAGUCCCACAUACGUUAUGUGUGGCUACACCGUAAUUGCUGGGUAAGCGAAGAAGGAGAAUGAGAAGUUUUUCUCUGGGACAUGGAAAUUUCCCAGCUCUGCAAGAUGAGGAGAGGACUUACUCAUGAGUCACUGCUUUGGUAAAAACCUAGCCUAGUAAAAGAACACUCCUUAAGGAUGGGAAUCACCCCACCUAAGGCUGACAAUCCCUAAAUCUGUGCAGGAUGGCAAGGCUUCUUUUAUAGUCGGUGGAGACAAACGCAUGUCUCUAGCAUGCCGCUCCUCCCACCCUCAUGUACACAAAUGUCUAAAAUAGAUCAUGAGUCACACACCACAAAUGCCUGUUUCUUUCCUUUGGUUCAAAAAAGGAAUUUAGACAACAAAUGCCUAACUGUUGAUGUCCAUCCAGUGUUCAGAUGCAUGAAAGCCAGUCUGGCUGGAAGGAUGCCAUUUGUUUAGCUGGGCUAAUUAAAUAUGAAUAUCUCUAAAACAGGACAUAGCAAACAAUGACCAGGCAGGAAUGAAUUGGAUUGAUGAAUAUUGAAGAACUAGAGGCAUCAGACUGUCUGAAUAUGAAUUAUUUUCUUUUCUGUCCUCUUCUUCCUCUCUUUCACAAGAGAUGAACAUUGACUAUGCACAUAAAAAGGACAUGCCCCAAAUCUUGACUGUCUUCUGCAAAUACCCAUAAUUUGGGCAAAAUGAGAUGUUGUAGCCUGAAUACAGCCGUGGGAGAGGUCAUGGAGACGAAAGAAAGCUUUGAACUAAUAUUUAUGCUAAGCAAAGUUAUGUGGGCUUACUCCUUUUACUAGCACUCAUUUUUCUCAUUAAACAUUGCAACUAUGCCCUUUAUUUCAAAUUCUGAAAAUAAUUUUCUUUUAGAUAAAAUUAAAAUCUCUUUUAGAUUAUGUUAAGCUGAAUGAAAACAAAACAAAACAGGGUAACCAGCUGAUCCCAGUCCUAAACAUCAGGAUAUCUCAGCAGGUAACAGCUGUUUCUGCUUCAUUCCAUAAUCUUGAUUAAGAAACUGAUGACCUCUGACUGGCAUGCAAAGCCUUUUGCAUUCAGCAAAUGGUGCAGCAUAUUUCCAGUGGGGCUUAUAACAGCCUCUUUUCACAUUUGCAAAAGGGAACAUUGGCUUCUCUACUUCAUUAGCAACUUUCUAAAUGUAGACAGCAAAAGUGUUUCUCAUGGGAGAGUCAAUGUUGUGGGGAACGUGUCUACAGGCAUUUGCUCUUUCCUUUCCACAUCCAUCUGGAGAACUUAGAGUACAAUAAUUCUGUAAUUGUUACUGAGCAACGUGAUGCCACUGCAGUGUUUUCUUAUAUUUCCUAUGCAAAAUGCCUUUUAGUCAACUACUGUUAAUGACUUAAAAUAGUGUUUUGAAAAGUUGCUUGGUCACUAAUAUCAAGACCUUUUUCUUUCUACCUAAGCAAUGAUACAGUCACUGAAAACAAGCUUUGAUUAACCAGAAACUCUCUUAAAAGUGUGCAAGUAAUAUAAGCUUAAUUUUACUAUUAAAAGCGCAGAGCUAUUUAUUUUACCAGUAAAAUAAACUACUUCACAGAGAGGACAUACUUUAAAACACCUUUUCAAGAGCUCCCUUGAGAUUUACUUGAAAAUAUUAGUCCCGUCAGACAAAAAAAAAAAAAUGGGCACCUGAAUUUCUUUAUAUCAAAUAUUUAAAUAUUAAUUAGAACUUGCACCUCAAGGAAAGGGAAAUCCCUGUACAGGUCUCCAGAUCCAAAUCGAAAAAUAACAAUAUUUGAAAAAGCAGAAAGCCUAAAACGACGGGAUAAAAAAACACCCUAAAACUUUAAAUGGCAAAAUUUUCCUUGGAAAAAAAGACAUUCAGGGAAAUGCCAAAAACUUUUUCAUCUGCUGGGGAAAAAAAAGUAGCUCUAUCAAAGAAGAUGAAAUACUAUAGUAGAGAUCAAUAUGUGAUCCCCAAAUUAAAGGGAAAUCUUCAGUGAAGUCAGUGUGGUGAGACAAAUAUAUGCCAAUAAUCAUAGUCAAGGGAUAAGCAAAGCUUAAAGAGCUUAAUGCACUUGAGUCUACUCACAAGCCCACUUUCACCUAAGAACCCUGAAAAAUGGCUAUGUAUUACCAGAUUCAAUAGAAAGAUUUUUAACAAAGAUGUUACCUAGGUAGAGCUGCAAAAUAUGCUCAAAUCAUAACUGGAUUUGUGCCAAUAUCAGAGAAUAAAAGGUGACUUAGAAUUCUUUAUCCUUUUACACCUCAGGCUCUAUGUUAAUCCUAUCAUAAAAUUUGAAGGAAAGAAUAAUUAAUGGCUUGAAGGUAAAUGGACAAUAGAAUAAAAUGUAACAUGGCUUUAGUAAAGGUAGGUCAUGUCAGAGUAGCCUGAUAGGAUACCUUUUUUCAGACAAAAGAACUGCACAGAGAGAUUAGAUUUUAUCUGAACUUCAGCAGAACAUUUGGUAAGGUGUCACAAUGGAGAUUACCUGAUAAACUGGUAAAAAAGAAGGCUACAAUAAGACUAUGAAGGUGCUGACUAAAGUGACUCUUGCAGAGGAAAUGCCAAGGAAGUGUGCUGAAAUAGGAACUUCUGGGCUAAAACAGAUUACUCCAGUAGGGCUUCUCCUGAAGCAGUCUUGGCAUUCAUUUUGUUUACAAUUUUACUUUUGUGAUUUCAUCCCUAAAAUAAGAACAAA